UACGUAGGGCGCAAGCGUUGUCCGGAAUUAUUGGGCGUAAAGAGCUCGUAGGCGGCUUGUCACGUCGGGCGUGAAAGCCCGGGGCUUAACCCCGGGUCUGCAUUCGAUACGGGCUGGCUAGAGUGUGGUAGGGGAGAUCGGAAUUCCUGGUGUAGCGGUGAAAUGCGCAGAUAUCAGGAGGAACACCGGUGGCGAAGGCGGAUCUCUGGGCCAUUACUGACGCUGAGGAGCGAAAGCGUGGGGAGCGAACAGG
rnacentral:rRNA from 1 species